rnacentral:rRNA from 1 species
ACGGAGGGGGCUAGCGUUGUUCGGAAUUACUGGGCGUAAAGCGUGCGCAGGCGGUUGUGUAAGCCAGAUGUGAAAUCCCCGGGCUUAACCUGGGAAUGGCAUUUGGGACUGCACGGCUAGAGUACGGCAGAGGGGACUAGAAUUCCUGGUGUAGCAGUGAAAUGCGUAGAUAUCGGGAGGAAUACCGAUGGCGAAGGCAGGUCCCUGGGUCGAUACUGACGCUCAUGCACGAAAGCGUGGGGAGCAAACAGGA